rnacentral:lncRNA from 1 species
AAGAAAGAAGAAGGAGUGGUAUAUUUGCAGUAUAUUUUUAUUUUUACCAAACUCAAUGAUCACUUAUCUCCAUGAGUCCUUAUUGGUGUCCAAUAAAUUUUCUCCAUUUUCCUAGACUAUUCAUUCCUCCUGUCUCACAGAUGAUCAUUCCUUCUCUUCUGAAACCUCUGACCCCAUCCUCACUCUCAGCUGAUAACCUUACUUCUUAUUUUACAAGACCAAGAAGGGAAAACAAAACAGAACUUUGGCAAACUCCCACAUCCCUUACCUACCUAUAAGCAUGAGCGCCCAUACCUUCUGUUUUUUCCUCUUUACUGUGACUUAUAGGUGCCCUCCCCACUCACUUACUCAAGAACACAGCUCCAGCUAAUCUCCCUUCUCUCUGAAUCAUCAAUUUCCCUCUCCCUCCCAGGUAGUCAUCCCCUAGCAUGUUUCUCCUUUCAGAGGGAUAAAAUCUCAGCUUUAUUUCUCUAUUCCAGCUUCUGCCCCAUUUCUCAGAUUCCCUUUUUAUAGCAAAGGUCCUCAAAAAAAGUAGUUAUCUCAUUGCUGUGGUUCUUUCCUUCCCUUUCUCCUUAUAUCUAUUCUGAUCAGGCUGCCCCGCCACUCUGUGGAGUCUUUCUUCCAGUGAUCUCCCAUGUUGCUAAGUCCAUGAAUCAAUUAUUUAUCCCCAUCUUGAUGUGUCAGCAACUUUUAACACUGUUGAUCAUUCUGUCUUUGGUGGCACUUUUCCACAAGGCUGUCACUUACCUGGCUUUCCUCCUGAGUCACUGACUGGUAUUCAGACUUUCCCUUGCUGGUUCUCCUUCGCCUUGCCAACCUUCAAGGUGUUGUGCUUGUGCACCUUCUCUUUUCUGCCACGGCCUUGGUAAGAUCAUCUAGUAUCGAUUAGCUAAUGUUCCCCAAAUGUAUAUCUCCAGCUUGGAAUUCUCUAGAUUCCAGACCUGAGAAUCCAAAUGGGUAUGCCACAUCUCCACUUGGAUGUUUACUUGUCCUCCCAAAUUUAACUCACCUGAAACAGA